rnacentral:rRNA from 1 species
UGGGGAAUAUUGCACAAUGGGCGAAAGCCUGAUGCAGCGACGCCGCGUGAGGGAUGACGGCCUUCGGGUUGUAAACCUCUUUCAGCAGGGACGAAGCGCAAGUGACGGUACCUGCAGAAGAAGCACCGGCUAACUACGUGCCAGCAGCCGCGGUAAUACGUAGGGUGCAAGCGUUGUCCGGAAUUACUGGGCGUAAAGAGUUCGUAGGCGGUUUGUCGCGUCGUUUGUGAAAACUCACAGCUCAACUGUGAGCCUGCAGGCGAUACGGGCAGACUUGAGUACUGCAGGGGAGACUGGAAUUCCUGGUGUAGCGGUGAAAUGCGCAGAUAUCAGGAGGAACACCGGUGGCGAAGGCGGGUCUCUGGGCAGUAACUGACGCUGAGGAACGAAAGCGUGGGUAGCGAACAGGAUUAGAUACCCCCGUAGUCC